rnacentral:rRNA from 1 species
GACGUAGGGCGCAAGCGUUGUCCGGAUUUAUUGGGCGUAAAGAGCUCGUAGGCGGUUUGUCGCGUCGGGAGUGAAAACACCGGGCUUAACUCGGUGCUUGCUUUCGAUACGGGCAGACUAGAGGCAUGCAGGGGAGAACGGAAUUCCUGGUGUAGCGGUGAAAUGCGCAGAUAUCAGGAGGAACACCGGUGGCGAAGGCGGUUCUCUGGGCAUGUCCUGACGCUGAGGAGCGAAAGUGUGGGGAGCGAACAGG